UCUCCCUGCGGUUCUGUUUCGAAAUAAUGCUGGUUGGUUUGCUCAUCAAACUGUUUCUGAAGAGUCGACACUUUAAUCAGAUUCAGCUCACUGAAGAGGAAAAAGAACAGGUCGUACAGGAAUGGACACCCGAACCGUUGGUCCCUACAGUGCCAGGUGACCAUGAACUGAUUGUUCGAAUGGAGGAAAAUGUUGUGCAAGGAUUUGCUGGUAAGAUAUUAAAAAUCAACGGGAAAGAAUGUAUCAACAUGGCGACUUUUAACUUCCUUGGUUUACUAGGUGACAAGUCUGUUGAAAAAGAAAGCAUAAAACGAUUGAGAUACUAUGGUGUUGGCACAUGUGGACCACGUGGUUUCUAUGGCACCACAGAUACACACUUGGAAUGUGAAGAGCGAUUCUGUGAAUAUAUGAAUACCGAAAUGGCUGUUUUAUACUCACAUGGAUUUCUCACUGUUACAAGUGCAAUGGCCACGUAUUCAAAACGUCAUGACGUCAUAUUUUGUGAUAUGGGGGCGUCUUUCGCAGUCACACAAGGAUUAAGAGUGUCCCGCAGCAAUUUCCAUUUCUUUCGCCACAACGACAUGGAACAUCUCGAAGAAUUACUUAUCGAACAUCAAAAAUGGGAAAAACAAAACCCGAAGAAGGCUAAAGUGACCAAAAAGUUAAUUGUCGUCGAAGCGCUGUACCUCAACAUUGGCGAUAUAUGUCCUUUACCAAGAAUUGUGGAAUUGCGAGACAUUUACAAAGUACGUGUGAUUGUUGAUGAAAGCUUUAGCUUCGGAAUCCUGGGAAAAACAGGCCGUGGCAUAACUGAACACUACGGACUCUCAAUAGGAGAUAUUGACGUGUUCACAGCAGAUCUCGAAAAUACGUUCGCCAGUGUUGGAGGUCUUUCUGUCGGCAAGAAGUGGGUUUUGGAUAAACAGAGAAUGGGAAGUCUCGGUUAUGCUUAUUCUGCUUCACAACCUCCGUUGUGUGUUGGGGCCAUCAUACAAGUGAUCAAUAUUUUAGAGGAGAGUAGCGUGGAGGAAAUGCAGUACCCAGAACCCCUUCAAGGACCGCUAAUAACGCUGAUUGCAAAGAGGAAGUUAUCCUCAGACCAGCCAGAAUGCUUGCAACAGUUUGUAUUUCGUUAAAGACGCCCAAUGGUCGUGUUAAUUAAGUGACGGACUAAGUUUACUGCACAUGUACUGAAGCUGUCAUUCGGAAUUUGUAACAGAAUGUCGCCAAACUUGCGAAAUGGUUCAAGAAAAACUUUCUGA
rnacentral:misc_RNA from 1 species